rnacentral:rRNA from 1 species
AUUGAACGCUGGCGGCAUGCUUUACACAUGCAAGUCGAACGGUAACAGGCCGCAAGGUGCUGACGAGUGGCGCACGGGUGAGUAAUGCAUCGGAACGUGCCCAGUCGUGGGGGAUAACUACUCGAAAGAGUAGCUAAUACCGCAUACGAUCUAUGGAUGAAAGCGGGGGACCGUAAGGCCUCGCGCGAUUGGAGCGGCCGAUGUCAGAUUAGGUAGUUGGUGGGGUAAAGGCUCACCAAGCCAACGAUCUGUAGCUGGUCUGAGAGGACGACCAGCCACACUGGGACUGAGACGCGGCCCAGACUCCUACGGGAGGCAGCAGUGGGGAAUUUUGGACAAUGGGCGCAAGCCUGAUCCAGCAAUGCCGCGUGCAGGAAGAAGGCCUUCGGGUUGUAAACUGCUUUUGUACGGAACGAAACGGCUCUGGUUAAUACCCGGGGCUAAUGACGGUACCGUAAGAAUAAGCACCGGCUAACUACGUG